rnacentral:rRNA from 1 species
GACGAACGCUGGCGGCGUGCUUAACACAUGCAAGUCGAACGGAAAGGCCCUGCUUUUGUGGGGUGCUCGAGUGGCGAACGGGUGAGUAACACGUGAGUAACCUGCCCUUGACUUUGGGAUAACUUCAGGAAACUGGGGCUAAUACCGGAUAGGAGCUCCUGCUGCAUGGUGGGGGUUGGAAAGUUUCGGCGGUUGGGGAUGGACUCGCGGCUUAUCAGCUUGUUGGUGGGGUAGUGGCUUACCAAGGGUUUGACGGGUAGCCGGCCUGAGAGGGUGACCGGCCACAUGGGGACUGAGAGACGGACCAGAGUCCUACGGGAGGCAGCAGUGGGGAAUAUUGCACAAUGGGCGGAAGCCUGAUGCAGCAACGCCGCGUGCGGGAUGACGGCCUUCGGGUUGUAAACCGCUUUCGCCUGUGACGAAGCGUGAGUGACGGUAAUGGGUAAAGAAGCACCGGCUAACUACGUG